rnacentral:rRNA from 1 species
UACGGGGGGAGCAAGCGUUGUUCGGAUUUACUGGGCGUAAAGAGCGUGUAGGCGGCCAGAUAAGUCCGCUGUGAAAUCUCGAGGCUCAACUUCGAGCUGUCGGUGGAAACUAUCUGGCUAGAGUCCGGAAGAGGAGAAUGGAAUUCCUGGUGUAGCGGUGAAAUGCGCAGAUAUCAGGAAGAACACCCGUGGCGAAGGCGGUUCUCUGGGACGGUACUGACGCUGAGACGCGAAAGCGUGGGGAGCGAACAGG